rnacentral:rRNA from 1 species
GUAGGUGGCAAGCGUUGUCCGGAAUUAUUGGGCGUAAAGCGCGCGCAGGCGGUUCUUUAAGUCUGAUGUGAAAGCCCACGGCUCAACCGUGGAGGGUCAUUGGAAACUGGAGAACUUGAGUACAGAAGAGGAAAGCGGAAUUCCACGUGUAGCGGUGAAAUGCGUAAAGAUGUGAGGAACACCAGUGGCGAAGGCGGCUUUCUGGUCUGUAACUGACGCUGAGGCGCGAAAGCGUGGGGAGCAAACAGGAUUAGAUACCCUGGUAGUCCACGCCGUAAACGAUGAGUGCUAAGUGUUAGGGGGUUUCCGCCCCCCUUAGUGCUGCAGCUAACGCAUUAAGCACUCCGCCUGGGAGUACGGCCGCAAGGCUG